rnacentral:rRNA from 1 species
UACGUAGGGAGCAAGCGUUGUCCGGAAUCAUUGGGCGUAAAGCGCGCGUAGGCGGCCCGAUAAGUCCGUUGUGAAAGUCAAAGGCUCAACCUUUGAAUGCCGAUGGAUACUGUCGGGCUAGAGUCCGGAAGAGGCGAGUGGAAUUCCUGGUGUAGCGGUGGAAUGCGCAGAUAUCAGGAGGAACACCAAUUGCGAAGGCAGCUCGCUGGGACGGUACUGACGCUGAGACGCGAAAGCGUGGGGAGCGAACAGG